rnacentral:rRNA from 1 species
AACGCGAAGAACCUUACCAGGGCUUGACAUCCCUCUGACGCAUACAGAGAUGUAUGUUCCCUUCGGGGCAGAGGAGACAGGUGGUGCAUGGUUGUCGUCAGCUCGUGUCGUGAGAUGUUGGGUUAAGUCCCGCAACGAGCGCAACCCUUGACCUGUGUUACCAGCACGUAUUGGUGGGGACUCACAGGUGACUGCCGGCGUAAGUCGGAGGAAGGCGGGGAUGACGUCAAAUCAUCAUGCCCUUUAUGUCCUGGGCUACACACGUGCUACAAUGGGCGGUACAACGGGACGCGAGACCGCGAGGUGGAGCAAAACCCUGAAAACCGUUCGUAGUUCGGAUUGCAGGCUGCAACUCGCCUGCAUGAAGCCGGAAUUGCUAGUAAUCGCGGAUCAGCAUGCCGCGGUGAAUCCGUUCCCGGGCCUUGUACACACCGAUAGC